UACGAAGGGGACUAGCGUUGUUCGGAAUCACUGGGCGUAAAGCGCACGUAGGCGGAUAUGUCAGUCAGGGGGUGAAAUCCCCGGGGGCUCAACCUCGGAACUGCCUUUGAUACAGCAUGUCUUGAGUCCGAUAGAGGUGGGUGGAAUUCCUAGUGUAGAGGUGAAAUUCGUAGAUAUCAGGAGGAACACCGGUGGCGAAGGCGGCCAUCUGGACGACAACUGACGCUGAGGCGCGAAAGCGUGGGGAUCAAACAGG
rnacentral:rRNA from 1 species